rnacentral:rRNA from 1 species
UUCGGGCGCCGGCGAGUGGCGAACGGGUGAGUAACACGUGGAGACCUAUCCAUUGGUGGGGGACAACAGCUGGAAACGGCUGCUAAUACCGCAUAAUCCCUACGGGGGAAAGAUUUAUCGCCAUAGGAGGGUUCCGCGUCGGAUUAGCUAGUUGGUGGGGUAACGGCCUACCAAGGCAACGAUCCGUAGCUGGUCUUAGAGGAUGAUCAGCCACACUGGGACUGAGACACGGCCCAGACUCCUACGGGAGGCAGCAGUGGGGAAUAUUGCGCAAUGGAGGAAACUCUGACGCAGCGAUGCCGCGUGGGUGAAGAAGGCCUUAGGGUUGUAAAGCCCUUUCAGUGGGAACGAUGGUGACGGUACCCACAGAAGAAGCCCCGGCUAACUCCGUGCCAGCAGCCGCGGUAAUACGGAGGGGGCGAGCGUUGUUCGGAAUUAUUGGGCGUAAAGCGCGCGUAGGCGGCUUAUUAAG